CAGGCCUAACACAUGCAAGUCGAACGGAAAGGCCCUGCUUUUGUGGGGUGCUCGAGUGGCGAACGGGUGAGUAACACGUGAGUAACCUGCCCUUGACUUUGGGAUAACUUCAGGAAACUGGGGCUAAUACCGGAUAGGAGCUCCUGCUGCAUGGUGGGGGUUGGAAAGUUUCGGCGGUUGGGGAUGGACUCGCGGCUUAUCAGCUUGUUGGUGGGGUAGUGGCUUACCAAGGCUUUGACGGGUAGCCGGCCUGAGAGGGUGACCGGCCACAUUGGGACUGAGAUACGGCCCAGACUCCUACGGGAGGCAGCAGUGGGGAAUAUUGCACAAUGGGCGGAAGCCUGAUGCAGCAACGCCGCGUGCGGGAUGACGGCCUUCGGGUUGUAAACCGCUUUCGCCUGUGACGAAGCGUGAGUGACGGUAAUGGGUAAAGAAGCACCGGCUAACUACGUGCCAGCAGCCGCGGUAAU
rnacentral:rRNA from 1 species